GAUGAACGCUAGCUACAGGCUUAACACAUGCAAGUCGAGGGGAAACGGCAUUGAGUGCUUGCACUCUUUGGACGUCGACCGGCGCACGGGUGAGUAACGCGUAUCCAACCUUCCCAUUACUGUGGGAUAACCUGCCGAAAGGCAGACUAAUACCGCAUAGUCUUCGAUGACGGCAUCAGAUUUGAAGUAAAGAUUUAUCGGUAAUGGAUGGGGAUGCGUCUGAUUAGCUUGUUGGCGGGGUAACGGCCCACCAAGGCAACGAUCAGUAGGGGUUCUGAGAGGAAGGUCCCCCACAUUGGAACUGAGACACGGUCCAAACUCCUACGGGAGGCAGCAGUGAGGAAUAUUGGUCAAUGGACGGAAGUCUGAACCAGCCAAGUAGCGUGCAGGAUGACGGCCCUAUGGGUUGUAAACUGCUUUUGUAUGGGGAUAAAGUUAGGGACGUGUCCCUAUUUGCAGGUACC
rnacentral:rRNA from 1 species